UGGGCAUGCGCAGCGGGCGAGAAGGUUGUUCGCGAAGGAGAAGGUUGUUUGCAGUUGGUCGCCAUUUUGUGCUGCUGCGUUCCUAUUCGCCGCCGGGGCAUUGUGUUUAAUACCGGAGCCAAUCAGAGGGGCAAAAGCGCGGGGUUUUGCUUAAUUCUCCAGAGAAACUGAUUACUUAUUCAAGUUAGCAAUGGAACAGUACACAACAAAUAACAGCAAUUCCACUGAACAGAUUGUGGUUCAGGGACAAAUUCAGCAACAGGGUCAGCCAUUAAUGGUCCAAGUCAGUGGUGGUCAACUAAUUACAUCCACUGGUCAGCCUAUCAUGGUUCAAGCUGUGCCUACAGGUCAAGGGCAAACAAUUAUGCAAGUUCCUGUCUCCGGAGGACAGGGUAUACAACAGAUUCAGCUUGUUCAACCAAGUCAGCUCCAGCUUCAAAGUGGGCAGGCUGUUCAAGUCCAAAACCAACAAGGUCAGGCACAGCAAAUUAUUAUUCAACAGCCUCAGGCAGCUGUUACAGCAGGACAAACACAGAGUCAACAGCAAAUAGUCCAAGGACAACAAGUGGCUCAGACUGCAGAAGGACAGACAAUUGUCUAUCAGCCGGUUAAUGCAGAUGGCACCAUACUCCAACAAGUUGCAGUCCCUGUUACAGGCAUGAUCACCAUACCUGCUGCCAGUCUAGCUGGGGCCCAAAUUGUCCAGACUGGAGCCAGCACAAGCACCACAAAUAGCAACCAGGGCACUGUAACGGUAACACUACCAGUCACUGGAAGUAUGGUCAAUGCAGGCGGUAUGGUAAUGAUGGUACCAGGGGCGAGCACAGUUCCAGCUAUGCAGAGAAUUCCCUUGCCAGGCGCAGAACUACUGGAAGAAGAACCGCUAUAUGUAAAUGCUAAACAGUAUCAUCGAAUCUUGAAAAGAAGACAGGCAAGAGCCAAGUUAGAAGCAGAAGGCAGAAUUCCAAAAGAAAGGAGGAAGUAUCUCCAUGAGUCUCGUCAUCGUCAUGCAAUGCAGCGAAAGCGUGGAGAAGGUGGCCGUUUUUUCUCUCCCAAGGAGGGUGAUGAGAUGGUCAUCUCAGUCAGGCUGUGAAAAAGGCGUUAAGACAGAAAGAAGCCUGAAUGAUUUCUUGGUAGGCUAGAGAAAAAUCAUAAAAAGAAACACCAGCAGCAGAGUGAAGAAAUAAUUGGUCAGGUGAUCAGGGUGGCCUAAAUCUCUGCUUUAUGCAUCUGUUUUGAAACGAGAACCAGUUAAAAUUGACGGUCUCUCCUCACUCCACAAUUCCUGCAUUGACUGCCUGUCCUGCAUUCCUCAAACUGAAAUGGAGGUUUAUAAUGAAAAAGUCUUCUCGGCAAAAAAAAAGUGUAUUUUGCUGCAGAACUUUAAAAGAUGUAAACUUAAAAUGUAUAACAGGGACAAAAAACACCAACAGAAAAAAACCUUGAAUAACUUUGUUUAGACCAAAUGGAGGAAACUAAUUUGAAGACAGUUUUCAGUUGUGAUGGUAUUUAGUGUGUAUUAGUUUGAGACAGAGGGGGGGUGGGAUACCCACUUGAUACUCUGACUUGAAGGAGGUUGGGGGAGUAGUGUCCUGUAAAUUGAUUAAGUUAAUGACGAACUUUGUUGGGGGGGGGGGGGGUACUGGAUUAUGUGUGGAUUUAUGGUAUCCUCUUGUAGAUGUGGAGGGGUGGAAUGAGUUACUGAUGCAUAUGGUAUGUUAUGAAAAUCACAUGAAUUUGUAUUUUUUUUCCAGUGUUUGUUAAUUAAGAGAUAAUGUAUAACUGCUUUUUUUUAAUGAAAAUUUGUUGUAUAUGAUGCAAAUAUUUUGUAAAAUGUAGCAAAAACUGCUCUGAGACAGUAGACCAUUUUGAAAGAUGAUCAAUUUAUUUACAGAAAAGGUGAGUUUGGUGCAAUUCAUUGCUUUAUAUAUGGUUAUAAUGCACUAAAGAGGUUUGUUCUUAAAACAUGUGAUGCUGUGUUUAUAGACUAGUAAAUAAGUGUAAUAUGAGCUAACACUGCAGGGCAGAUUUUCCAGUAUUAAAAUAGGCAAAUUCAACCUGGACACAACUAAACAUUCAGCAGAGGGAAGCUAGAGCACACAUCUAUGGUUCUUAUUGCUGCUUGAUGUCCAACCUUGAACGAGGAUAGCUCAGUGGUGCACUUCAGUUACAUUGCAUGCCAGCUUCCAUUGUCUUGCAACACUGCAAGAGUGAAACUAGCAUGUUUGCAGAAGUAAGCUGUUGCCAACAAGGUUGCAUUCUUGUAGGUCGCCUCUUGAGAGGAAGGAAAACAGGUUCUUUCUUAAUAAAGUUCCACUGUGGCCAUGGUUGUACCAGUUACUGAAGUGGUUCUGUUAUACUAUUUUUGACAUGCAAGUUACAUCCCAUUAUUUAAAUACAUACAAAAUGGUAUACUGUCUCUUCAGAAAGCAGUAUUUGGCUUCUACUUAUGCAAUUCCUUUUUCAAAUAUUGCGUAAUUUUACCAUCUCGGAACUAUAUGCAAGUUCAAAAGAGAAAUCAUUUAAUUCUGAGGCUUUUAUGCCAUGUUAAAAUAUACAACUUUGGGCUUCUAAUGAUUGGAUCCAAGUAACACUGAAGCUGCAUAAUUUUUCAGACUACAAUCAUAUUUGGUUGCUAUAGUCUUAGCAUGGAUCAAAAUACAGCUCAUAAGGAAUCAAGAGCAACCCUCAAGGAUGGCUGUGAAAUUUCAAAAACACUCAGUGAUAUUGAUGCAGCACUUGAUUCUGACCCUUUAUUACACAAAUUGAACUGUUUUCCUGGUAGAGAGGAAGUGUAUGGUGUUAAGAUAGGAUUUAUAAUCUAACCUAGGAAGGAUUUGUCACUCCUGAAGCAGAUAAAUCUUUUAGGCAUGGAUCAGAUUUCAUAUCCAGUUCAUGGCAAGUCUCAGUGAAACGGAUACUCUGGGUAAUUGAUUCAAUUUAUUAUAAACAUUUGCCCACAAAACUAAAGUGGUGAGAAACAACUACCAAAUACAACUAUCACACCUCUCAACAAUGAUCAGAAUGGCAAGGGAAAUAGUAUUUACAAUUUCACAUUGGGUUCUAAAGGUCUUUCAAACCUCCACUUUUAAAUUCUAAGUGCAUGCAGGUGUAAAGUACAUUAGAGGACAAAUUUGGGUUUCUGAUUCUUAAAGCAAUACUUUCCACACAUACAUAAGAAAAGAAAAUCUACCCAGCCAGCUAUUGCCAUUUUACCCUUGCAUCCAUUAACUUUACAGUGACUGGGUAAUACUGAAACUCAGUCUUAAGGGCUUUGUAUAUCAGGUAGAACAUUUAAUUGUUGAAGAUACUAUAAAUGUCAUGCAGGUUAUAAAUAUUUCAACCAAUGCAUUGAAAUGAGUGCAACUUGUUUUUGUAUAUAGGUUACAGAUUUAUAAUUUUUUAUAUACAGCAUUUGGUUUGUUAGCAUGAAUCUCAAUUUAGCUGUAGAGAAAAAGUACUGUGUACAUGGUUCAGCUAAUAAAACCAUAUCAUUUUAGUAA